rnacentral:rRNA from 1 species
GAUCCUGGCUCAGGAUGAACGCUGGCGGCGUGCUUAACACAUGCAAGUCGAACGAAGCACUUUAUUUGAUUUCCUUCGGGAUUGAUUAUUUUGUGACUGAGUGGCGGACGGGUGAGUAACGCGUGGGUAACCUGCCUUGUACAGGGGGAUAACAGUUGGAAACGGCUGCUAAUACCGUAUAAGCGCACAGCAUCGCAUGAUGCAGUGUGAAAAAACUCCGGUAGUAUAAGAUGGACCCGCGUUGG